UAAAAUAUAAUUAACAAUUCAUUAAUAAACUCAGUAACCACUGUAUAAUAUUAGUAUUCACAUUUUUGGGAGGUUUCAAUGAACGAAUCAUGUAAUCAGUAUAACCGUGGACUUCUUCAGAAGAAGUCAAAUAUAAAGGUAAUCCUUACUCGAGGGAAAUCGAUAACGGUAUGCUAGUUCUACCUUCCCACUAGCGAGGGCUAUAAUGGUAAUGGGUAAUUACAAGGUGCAACAGGUCUAACAAAUACGCCAUUAGCUAUGGGAUCCUUUAAUGUCUACUCCCAUUUAUACUUGUCACUGUAAUCCAUAUAUACUCGUAGAAACUAUUUAAAAUAAUAUAGCGCAUUUCGGUUCUUAUC
rnacentral:lncRNA from 1 species